UCAGACACGUCAGAGUUUGAUCCUGGCUCAGGAUGAACGCUAGCGAUAGGCUUAACACAUGCAAGUCGAGGGGUAACAUGGGAGUAGCUUGCUACUUCUGAUGACGACCGGCGGAUGGGUGAGUAACGCGUAUGCAACUUGCCUCUUAGUGGGGAAUAACCCGGAGAAAUCCGGACUAAUACCGCAUACACUUAGUUAUCCGCAUGGAUGAUUAAGGAAAGAUUUAUUGCUAAGAGACAGGCAUGCGUUCCAUUAGUUAGUUGGUGAGGUAACGGCUUACCAAGACUACGAUGGAUAGGGGGACUGAGAGGUUGACCCCCCACACUGGUACUGAGAUACGGACCAG
rnacentral:rRNA from 1 species